rnacentral:rRNA from 1 species
CCUACGGGUGGCAGCAGUAGGGAAUAUUGCUCAAUGGGGGAAACCCUGAAGCAGCAACGCCGCGUGGAGGAUGAAGGUUUUCGGAUUGUAAACCACUGUCCCCAGGGACGAAGAUGACGGUACCUGGGGAGGAAGCUCCGGCUAACUACGUGCCAGCAGCCGCGGUAAUACGUAGGGAGCGAGCGUUGUCCGGAAUUACUGGGUGUAAAGGGAGCGUAGGCGGGGAUGCAAGUUGGGUGUCAAAACUACCGGCUCAACUGGUAGUCGCACUCAAAACUGCAGCUCUUGAGUGAAGUAGAGGCAGGCGGAAUUCCUAGUGUAGCGGUGAAAUGCGUAGAUAUUAGGAGGAACACCAGUGGCGAAGGCGGCCUGCUGGGCUUUUACUGACGCUGAGGCUCGAAAGUGUGGGGAGCAAACAGGAUUAGAUACCCCAGUAGUC